rnacentral:rRNA from 1 species
UGGGCUCGAAAUGCUAUGGACCGGGGUAGAAAUAUCCCUUCCCCGCAAGGGGCCGUAGUAUAGGUGCUGCAUGGCUGUCGUCAGCUCGUGUCGUGAGAUGUUGGGUUAAGUCCCGCAACGAGCGCAACCCUUAUCUUCAGUUGCUACCAUUUAGUUGAGCACUCUGACGAAACCGCCUCGGAUAACGGGGAGGAAGGUGGGGAUGACGUCAAGUCCUCAUGGCCUUUAUGUCCAGGGCUACACACGUGCUACAAUGGCCGGUACAAACCGUCGCAAACCCGUGAGGGGGAGCUAAUCGGAAAAAGCCGUCCUCAGUUCGGAUCGUAGUCUGCAACUCGACUACGUGAAGCUGGAAUCGCUAGUAAUCGCGGAUCAGAAUGCCGCGGUGAAUACGUUCCCGGGCC